rnacentral:tRNA from 1 species
GAAGGUAUAGCUCAAGUGGUAGAGUGCAUGCUUGGCAUACAGGAGAUCCUGGGUUCAAUCCCCAGUGCCUCCA